rnacentral:rRNA from 1 species
CAGCCGCCGCGGUAAUACGUAGGGAGCAAGCGUUGUCCGGAAUCAUUGGGCGUAAAGGGUGCGCAGGCGGUCUGGCAAGUCAAGUGUGAAAUGUAUCAGCUUAACUGAUACACUGCGCUUGAAACUGUCAGACUUGAGGGCAAGAGAAGAGAGCGGAAUUCCUAGUGUAGCGGUGAAAUGCGUAGAUAUUAGGAAGAACACCAGUGGCGAAAGCGGCUCUCUAGCUUGACCCUGACGCUGAGGCACGAAAGCUAGGGGAGCGAACGGGAUUAGAUACCCCGGUAGUCCUAGCUGUAAACGCUGGAUACUAGGUGUUGGGGGUUCAACUCCCUCAGUGCUGCAGUUAACGCGUUAAGUAUCCCGCCUGGGGAUUACGACCGCAAGGUUGAAACUUAAAGGAAUUGGCGGG